UACGGAGGGGGCUAGCGUUGUUCGGAAUUACUGGGCGUAAAGCGUGCGUAGACGGCUAUCUAAGUCGGGUGUGAAAGCCCCGGGCUCAACCUGGGAAUUGCAUUCGAGACUGAAUAGCUAGGGUACGGUAGAGGGAAGUGGAAUUUCCGGUGUAGCGGUGAAAUGCGUAGAUAUCGGAAGGAACAUCAGUGGCGAAGGCGGCAUCCUGGACCGGCAUUGACGGCUGAGGCGGCGAAAGCUGAGGGGAGCAAACGGGGGAU
rnacentral:rRNA from 1 species